AGCCCGCUCAGAGGUGUCGCGGCCCCGCCGGAGCUGGGCCGCGCGCUGCUGCUCCGAGGGCCCGGCCGAGGCGCGGGUGCCGGGCCUGCUGCUCUGCGCGCAGCUGUCGAGGUGGCUGGGCCCAGAGGAGCCCGCGGCCGCAGCGAUUCACCCCGUCGUCUUUCAAACAAACCAGCCUCCUCCAGUGCCAGCCAGCUCCGGUUCCGUCAGGCAGCGGUGGAGGGGUUUUCCCUCGUUGCUGGCUGACUUUGGCUGGUCCGAAAGCGGAGUACCGGGGAGGGACCGGAGCAGCCCCGCGAUUGUGUAAACCAGAACAUGGGACUGAAAUGCCGUGUGCACUCCGCAGUUUUUCCAGGGCACGGGAGAGCCAUGGGAAGAGCUUCAACCCUCUACUCUGCUGGCUGAGGCUCUUGAGGGCUGGUGUGUGGAUGCACGGAAAAGUGAUCCUUGUAAGGGCAAGAAUUUGUCUCCAGGGAUUUCUGCACCAGCACUUUGGCCUUCCUGUUUCCUCCACGUGCAGCCUUGCUUGUGUGUUCAGCUCCUGCUUGGCCCGUCAUGGGGGCCCUUGCAGACCAGGGGAGCAGAAGACCUCUGAUAAUAAGAAAAUGAGUCUGUAAGAAGCAGGUGGGUUAGUUUUGUCCAUGGUGAUGCAUUAUGGAUUACACAUCUUCCCUCAGGAAUCUUUGCCUCCUGGGACUUGGCCAAGGGGCACCACUGCUUGGAGCAGCACAAGAUCUCAGGCGUUUUCAGUGAAAUCUCUCUGCUAACCACUGGCGUUAACAGCUGUAACACGCACAGUGCUCUGGGAUUGCCACAAAGUGCAGUAGAAAUGCAAAGGUUGAUUAAUCGGUUCCCAUGAGAGAAAGCCUGGAGAGCUUUUUUCCUUUGUCAAGCAAAAAAGAGUCAUGUUGUAGAGCAGAAGCAAGGCUGAGAGAACCCAGUCUAGCUCCUUCUUCCCUUGUCGCCUGUGUCUCGUGGAUGGUGAGCAUCAGCCAAGGAGGGAGUGCUGCUGUGUGCUACUUUUUACUGGCUGCAGUUGGUGAAAACUUGAACGGCACCUGCGCUGCUUGCUGACAGCUUCAGCUCAAGAGGGUGCCUGAGAUUUCCCCAGACUAGCCCCAGAUGAUGGACCCAGAGCAGUGCUGGUGGUGCAAACCCCUGGGACACGUCCCCGCUCCGUGGAACAAACCUGCAUCGUGCUCUGGGGACGGUCUUUUGAAACGUGUUAUGCAGAAGAGAGGAGCCUGAAUGGAAGGAGCACAUACCGAGGAGGGAAGGAGUGCACCAGUCCCACCGACCCUGCGGUUUCUUCAGCUACGGGAACAUCUUGUACCAUCAGCAUGAAUGCGCGGAGGCCGCCCGGGGAGAGGGGGAGCCCAGGAGGCCGGUACGAUGGCGGGCGCCGGACCGGGGGAGCCGACGCGGAGCAGGACGCGCCGGGCACGGAGCAGGACGCGCCGGGCACAGAGCAGGACGCGCCGGGCACGGAGCAGGACGCGCCGGGCGCGCGGAGGACGGACACCGGUGCCUGCGCGACGCUCCCGGGCGAAGGAGCCCGACGCAGCGCCCUGCACGGUGCUCCGGCUCUGCGCAGGUUGCACGUGCUGUACCGAAGAUCGGUGUUAUUCUGCGCUUGCCGGAGAAAACCUGGUCGUAACUGAGGCAUUAAUUCUGCAGAGCGUUUCGUAGCAGAUUGUCAGGAAAGAAAAGAGAAAUGUAAAAUAAGUCUUGUUUACUAUAGAUGAUGAUGUGGCAAAAUAACUCAGCAGCCAGUUCUCAGGAGUUUAUGACAAUAAUCAUGAAUAUGUUUUAUAAAUGUGUAGCAAUGUGAGUGGACUCAAUUCUGGCUGAAUUUAAAUAAUACAGCUUUGUGCAGCAAAGCCUAAAUCAAAUGGCUAUAAUUUAUGCUGAAACGUACUACAGGAUGCAUUUAUUCACAAGUAUGUGCUGAUUGUAGCAUUGUGCCUGAUUUAUGAUGGUUUUUUUUAUAUGAAAAUUCCUACCAAAAAUAA